rnacentral:rRNA from 1 species
UGGGGAAUAUUGGACAAUGGGGGCAACCCUGAUCCAGCAAUGCCGCGUGUGUGAAGAAGGCCUGCGGGUUGUAAAGCACUUUUCUGCGAGAAGAACACGGGUGCGGUGAAUAGCCGCAUCAACUGACGGUAUCACAGGAAUAAGCACCGGCUAACUCCGUGCCAGCAGCCGCGGUAAUACGGAGGGUGCGAGCGUUAAUCGGAAUUACUGGGCGUAAAGCGUGCGUAGGUGGUUUGUCAAGUCGGAUGUGAAAGCCCCGGGCUCAACCUGGGAGGGUCAUUCGAAACUGGCGGACUGGAGUCUGGAAGAGGUUGGCGGAAUUCCCGGUGUAGCGGUGAAAUGCGUAGAGAUCGGGAGGAACAUCAGUGGCGAAGGCGGCUGACUGGUCCAAGACUGACACUGAGGCACGAAAGCGUGGGGAGCAAACAGGAUUAGAUACCCCCGUAGUCC